rnacentral:rRNA from 1 species
UACCUAGGUACACUACAGGUGGAUGCUCGCGCGGGAAGCAGGAGAGGGUGCCCCCCGGGUGUUGAGCGGCGGACGGGUGAGUAAUGUCUGGGAAACUGCCUGAUGGAGGGGGAUAACUACUGGAAACGGUAGCUAAUACCGCAUAACGUCGCAAGACCAAAGAGGGGGACCUUCGGGCCUCUUGCCAUCAGAUGUGCCCAGAUGGGAUUAGCUAGUAGGUGGGGUAAUGGCUCACCUAGGCGACGAUCCCUAGCUGGUCUGAGAGGAUGACCAGCCACACUGGAACUGAGACACGGUCCAGACUCCUACGGGAGGCAGCAGUGGGGAAUAUUGCACAAUGGGCGCAAGCCUGAUGCAGCCAUGCCGCGUGUGUGAAGAAGGCCUUCGGGUUGUAAAGCACUUUCAGCGAGGAGGAAGGUGGUGAGCUUAAUACGCUCAUCAAUUGACGUUACUCGCAGAAGAAGCACCGGCUAACUCCGUGCCAGCAGCCGCGGUAAUACGGAGGGUGCAAGCGUUAAUCGGAAUUACUGGGCGUAAAGCGCACGCAGGCGGUUUGUUAAGUCAGAUGUGAAAUCCCCGGGCUCAACCUGGGAACUGCAUUUGAAACUGGCAAGCUAGAGUCUCGUAGAGGGGGGUAGAAUUCCAGGUGUAGCGGUGAAAUGCGUAGAGAUCUGGAGGAAUACCGGUGGCGAAGGCGGCCCCCUGGACGAAGACUGACGCUCAGGUGCGAAAGCGUGGGGAGCAAACAGGAUUAGAUACCCUGGUAGUCCACGCUGUAAACGAUGUCGAUUUGGAGGUUGUGCCCUUGAGGCGUGGCUUCCGGAGCUAACGCGUUAAAUCGACCGCCUGGGGAGUACGGCCGCAAGGUUAAAACUCAAAUGAAUUGACGGGGGCCCGCACAAGCGGUGGAGCAUGUGGUUUAAUUCGAUGCAACGCGAAGAACCUUACCUACUCUUGACAUCCAGAGAACUUUCCAGAGAUGGAUUGGUGCCUUCGGGAACUCUGAGACAGGUGCUGCAUGGCUGUCGUUCAGCUCGUGUUGUGAAAUGUUGGGUUAAGUCCCGCAACGGAGCGCAACUCUUAUCCUUUGUUGCCAGCGGUUCGGGCGGGAACUUCAAAGGAGAACUGCCAGUGAAUAAACCUGGGAAGAAAGGUGGGGAAUGACGUUCCAAGUUCCA